CUUCAGCGAGCCCAGCCACAGCGGCUGUCCUGCGGGCCGCUCCUGGCCGUACGUGGCGAGCAGCGCCUGCGCCUC
rfam:Streptomyces avermitilis MA-4680 = NBRC 14893 DNA, complete genome.